AUAUCCUGAUCAUUCCAUUUUUUGAGUUACUUUUCGUGAUGAGUAUUUCUAGUUGAUAUCUUGAACAUGCAAAAGGAUACCUGGGUUGUCAGUAAAAUGUUAUUUCUGGGGUGUCUGAGUAAGAUUAGUAUUUCAUUCAGUAGAUUGAGAAAUGAGACCACCCCCAUCCAGGAACUCUGGGUUCUCAGGCCUUUGGACUCCAAGACAGACAUAAGCUGCAUAAGUUUCCCUUCCCUGGUUGUCAGGUCUCAAACUCAGGCUGACUUAUACCACUGCCUUCCCUGGUUCUCCAGCUUGCAUCAUGGAACUUCUCAGCCUCCACAACUGAAAUCAAGAAAUUUGAUGCUAAAUAUGUCAGUGUCUAGAUUACGCCAACCACAGGAAAACCAGAGACACAGAUUGGCUGAAGGAGCA